GACGAACGCUGGCGGUGUGCUUAACACAUGCAAGUCGAACGAAGCUUGAUUACGGAUUCUUCGGAUGAAGUAUGAUAUGACUGAGUGGCGGACGGGUGAGUAACGCGUGAGUAACCUGCCCUUCAGAGGGGGAUAGCGUUUGGAAACGAACGGUAAUACCGCAUAAUGUAUUUUGACCGCAUGAUCGAAAUACCAAAGAUUUAUCGCUGAAGGAUGGACUCGCGUCUGAUUAGGUAGUUGGUGGGGUAACGGCCUACCAAGCCGACGAUCAGUAGCCGGACUGAGAGGUUGAUCGGCCACAUUGGGACUGAGACACGGCCCAGACUCCUACGGGAGGCAGCAGUGGGGAAUAUUGCACAAUGGGCGCAAGCCUGAUGCAGCAACGCCGCGUGAAGGAAGACGGUUUUCGGAUUGUAAACUUCUGUUCUUAGGGAAGAAUAAUGACGGUAGCUAAGGAGCAAGCCACGGCUAACUACGUG
rnacentral:rRNA from 1 species